rnacentral:lncRNA from 1 species
CUGAGGGUUUGCUGGGAAGCGGAAACUGCUGAGGUACCGAAGUUACUGCUGAGGAGGCUCGGCUGUGUAGCCGAAAGGUUGGUCCUAGCUCUGAAUUAGGCGAGUGGCUGUGUUCACACUCUGCUACUUCGGCUGCGUCUGCUUGCUCCAAAUCACCGCUGCUGCCUGUGUGCUCGACGCGUGCUUCUGACGCGAGGCCGUUGCUCAACCCUGAUGCAGUACCGGAGUACUCAGGGUUCUCAAGCCACAGUACCUCCUGCUCCUGCUCGUGCUGCUCACUGACGGGUUUCAGUCCUGGGUGAGGCUGCUGCUGCUGCUGAGCAGGGAGGGGCGGACCCUUCUUGACUCCCUUUUGUUGCUUUGCGUGACCUUUGCUAGGGCGCGCUGGGGCAGUUGAAUGCUCGAUGGACCCUGGGGGCCGAGCUGAGCGGUGGGGAUUGACACGACGUAGAGAGUCCGCCAGCGCUCAAAAGAUGAUGAGACUCUUACAAGGCUCUAGUGAGAGCGCAGUGUUCAGUGAUGUCCGGGGACACUAUCUCACUGAUGAGUCUGUAUGGCCGGAGCCUGUGUGCACGUACGAUAGUCCUGGGACACACACCAACGCCGGAGCGCUUGGUGGCUGAGUACGGCAAGGAUUGAUAGUUCUCGGAAGCUCGACACUGAAAGGGGUGGUUCGGCUACGAAUCUUGACUCACUGCUAGCCAGAUCAACCACGCCAAAAGCUCACAAGCUGGAUAAUAACAGCAGCUUUGCGGCAAAUCAAAAGAAAAUAAGAACGCGACAAUUAGGCAGUAAUGCCACGGAUGGCUGCCGCCGGAGGGUUGACGCGCCCGCGCUCCUCACACUGGUCGGAACCAGGCGAAGAAGUAACCUGAGGUCGAUUAACACUGCGUAUUCGAUGUGCCUCGGAAGGCUAACGAGCUGUGUUGGCUUAGUGCGCGGACGCGAAAAGCCUAGCUCAAUAGAUGGGUGACACCACUUGGAGAAUAUACAGCGACGGAUCGCUUUCAAUAAUAGCUGCACAAUAAAUUCGGGGUACUGGCACCCGAUUCCUUACUUCUUACGGCCGCCUACUUCAGGACGACUCGCCGACCUUCUCGGUCGUUUGGCUGUGGGGUGAAUGAUGAAUGAUACAAUACGAUAGGAGCUCUCCUUAAAGCUCCGGCUUGACUUGGCUGGCUCACUCCAGCUUCGUUAACUUGAUUUGCGCGAUCGCAGUAGGCGAGGACGGGCUGGGAACGGAUCCCUGUCGAGCCUAGAGGUAGGAGCACUAAGGGCGGACCUUAUGGAAUGCUGUGUGUACACUCUCUGUCUAUCCUGCUCUGCUGCGCGUGUCGAGGUAGGGUAGGAUUGUGGUCUUAUUACACCAAACAGUCCUAUCAACCCUCCUAUAAUUAUAUUAUCUUCAAUAAUAUAAUGGUCUAUACGCUCACGAAGAGUUGCUUCGAGAGCCAAACGACAAAUGUUUGGCCUCUUCGCACUCGCAUUUAUGGCGAAGUACCGACUGAUCCACGCCGGGCCUUAUCACACCCGGCCCUACCCUGGAUGCGUAACGCUCAUCCGACUAACGACAGAUGAACGACAACCUAACAUCCUCAAAUCACAACGGAAAGCGCCUUAUACGCUAAUCAGGCAACACUCAAAGUCUCAAUUAAAUCAAUACGCGGUUCGCCUGACUACCUUCGGUUGGCUUAGCCACCUGCGGAUAGCGACUAACUCGGUCGUGGCACGUAAUCUGUGCGCUCCAGAUGUUUUGGCGUGACAAGCACCCACCACCAGCAUCCGUGGGAAUCCGUGGUUAUGCCAUAAGUGGCGCCUUCAAGUACACCCCUAUUUAGGUCACAGAUCUCUACAGUCGGGUCCAUCGCCGUUCAUCGGCAUAGGGCAUCUGCAACCCUCGAAUGAUCAUAACCUGCUCAUUGUCAG